rnacentral:lncRNA from 1 species
GCGAAAAUGUCUCACAAGGAGAAAAACCAAAAGUCCUGGGGACAAGAGAGAUUGGGAUGGGUGCUUUUGGCUUAAGAGGACACUGGCAUCCACCCCAUGUUGGUCCCAUGGGGUGUGCGGGGAGCAGCAAGACAGGUCUGGGAGGGUCAGUUAUCAUCUCCUCUCAUCUCAACAUUCAGGUCUAAACAUCACACUGGUCGUAUGAAGUCACCUGUGGUAGGAAUAUUUACACCACGGAGAUCGGCAAGUGCCAAGAUCAUAAGCCUGUUGUUCAAUAUCACCCAGCACUCCAUGAGGCAUUUCCAGCAGAGGGCGCUCUCGUGCGGCUGGGGACCAUCAGAGUCUCUGGGUAUCCAGGAUCUGAUCAGCCCCUGACACUCUAAAAAUGGGAACCAAGGUCUGGU